UGGGCUCGAAAUGCAGGAGACCGGGGUAGAAAUAUCCCUUCCUCGCAAGAGGCUGCUGUAUAGGUGCUGCAUGGCUGUCGUCAGCUCGUGUCGUGAGAUGUUGGGUUAAGUCCCGCAACGAGCGCAACCCUCAUCCCUAGUUGCCAUCGGGUCAAGCCGGGCACUCUAGUGAAACCGCCCCGGAUAACGGGGAGGAAGGUGGGGAUGACGUCAAGUCCUCAUGGCCUUUAUGUCCAGGGCUACACACGUGCUACAAUGGUCGGUACAAACCGUCGCGAAACUGCAAAGUAGAGCUAAUCGGAAAAAGCCGGCCUCAGUUCGGAUUGGAGUCUGCAACUCGACUCCAUGAAGCUGGAAUCGCUAGUAAUCGCAGAUCAGAACGCUGCGGUGAAUACGUUCCCGGGCC
rnacentral:rRNA from 1 species